ACGGGUGAGUAAUGUCUGGGAAACUGCCUGAUGGAGGGGGAUAACUACUGGAAACGGUAGCUAAUACCGCAUGACCUCGAAAGAGCAAAGUGGGGGACCUUCGGGCCUCACGCCAUCGGAUGUGCCCAGAUGGGAUUAGCUAGUAGGUGAGGUAAUGGCUCACCUAGGCGACGAUCCCUAGCUGGUCUGAGAGGAUGACCAGCCACACUGGAACUGAGACACGGUCCAGACUCCUACGGGAGGCAGCAGUGGGGAAUAUUGCACAAUGGGCGCAAGCCUGAUGCAGCCAUGCCGCGUGUGUGAAGAAGGCCUUCGGGUUGUAAAGCACUUUCAGCGAGGAGGAAGGGUUCAGUGUUAAUAGCACUGUUCAUUGACGUUACUCGCAGAAGAAGCACCGGCUAACUCCGUGCCAGCAGCCGCGGUAAUACGGAGGGUGCAAGCGUUAAUCGGAAUUACUGGGCGUAAAGCGCACGCAGGCGGUUUGUUAAGUCAGAUGUGAAAUCCCCGAGCUUAACUUGGGAACUGCAUUUGAAACUGGCAAGCUAGAGUCUUGUAGAGGGGGGUAGAAUUCCAGGUGU
rnacentral:rRNA from 1 species